AGAACGAACGCUGGCGGCAGGCCUAAUACAUGCAAGUCGAACGCACUCUUCGGAGUGAGUGGCAGACGGGUGAGUAACGCGUGGGAACCUUCCCAAUGGUACGGAAUAACUCCGGGAAACCGGUGCUAAUACCGUAUAAGCCCCUCGGGGGAAAGAUUUAUCGCCAUUGGAUGGGCCCGCGUCGGAUUAGCUAGUUGGUAAGGUAAUGGCUUACCAAGGCUACGAUCCGUAGCUGGUCUGAGAGGAUGAUCAGCCACACUGGGACUGAGACACGGCCCAGACUCCUACGGGAGGCAGCAGUAGGGAAUCUUGGACAAUGGGCGAAAGCCUGAUCCAGCCAUGCCGCGUGAGUGAAGAAGGCCUUAGGGUUGUAAAGCUCGUUUUGGCGGGGACGAGUAUGACGGUACCGCAGAAUAAGCCCCGGCUAACUUCGUGCCAGCAGCCGC
rnacentral:rRNA from 1 species